rnacentral:lncRNA from 1 species
CUCUCGGCGCUCUUCGGCUCGGAGCCUGGCGGCUCAGCGCGCUCCCGGCUGCACGUGCUGCCCCCGCCGCCGCCCACGCCAGACAAAGCGGGGCCCUCCCGGGCGUGUUUCCUAGGCGCCCCCUUCCCUCGAUGAACCCUUUGAUUUCUUCCUUCUUCUCUCUCACUUCGUUCCAGCCCCCUCAACUGCCUCCUGGAGCGCCUUUUUUGUGUGCUCGCCAUCUCACGUUUGGCCCUCUCUCCAAAGCUCUGCCUUCACGAACGCCUCCAUUUGACCUUCCCCCUCCGCCACUCUCUGGUCUCCUUUGGUAGCUUUAUCAUUACAUUUGAUGGAAGGGCGACUCUCCCCUCUCCUAUUUUCAGCUCCACAUUACCUUUUGUAUUGUCCUCUCCCCUUCCUAUUGGCAUCUUCUUUCUGUCCUUGCCCUUUUCAAGACUCUUCCAGAAACUCUCUUGAUGUCUCUGCCUCUUUUCACGGUUUCCUUUCCACUUUUUCUUUUCUCUCUGGGCUGUGGGACAGCAGAAGGGAGAUUGCAAAUGGCUACCUAGAUUGAGUGCCCCUUUUACCUCACUGACGCCAUCCUUUUUUCUGUCACCUUGAGGUCACAUUAUUUGGGCACCUUGAUGAGGCUUUGGGGAUUCUACUGCCGUUGCUGCCAUUAGCAGUCUCUUUGCUUGGAAGCUUAAAUGAAGGAAAUUUCUGGGAACUGGUCAAAGACUCCUGAAAUGCACCUUGAGGACUAAACAUCUCUCUCCCUCCAUCUCUGCUUGGUUACUCUGGUUUGUUUCGAACACCGGCUGCUUCUUCCCACUUCUUGACUCCCUGCACCCCUACCCGCCCCCCCAGCAAUCACAUUGUUCAUCCCUUUGGCACCAGCCCUAGAGAGGAAAGGGUAGGUCCUCCUCUCCAGGAAGGAAGGUGGGGCAGAGUAGCUCCCGCAGGAAGGGAAGGAAAAAGGAGGGAAGGAAGGAAGUGGCCAACAGAAGGUGGAAUCCGGUGGGAGGACUUUUCAUUGUUUGAACGUCUUUCCUUUUUAGCUCUGCAAAGUCAAGCCCAAGGCCAUCUCACCAAGGUUCUGCUGCCAUCUCCCAGAACCCCAGCUAGGACUCCCUUGCCAGAGGCUGGAGGGGGCUGAGGUUUUGGUGGACAUAUUUAAGUGAAGUGGGCAGAGUUUCAUGUAUGCUGCAAAUUGUAAGCACUUACAUUUUUAAUGUAUCCAUCUUCUGUUUCUUUUCUGUCCAACAAAGUCAGCUUUUAUCUUCCCUUUUCUCCAGGGGGAAAAAAAAAAAGAAAAACUCCAGGGUAGAAUUAUGCCUCAGGUAAGGAAAAUGUAUCUACCAUUUCCUGAGGACCUUCUACCUGUGAAUCUGCU